GGGGAAUAUUGCACAAUGGGGGAAACCCUGAUGCAGCCAUGCCGCGUGUGUGAAGAAGGCCUUCGGGUUGUAAAGCACUUUCAGUCAGGAGGAAGGGGAGCAGACUAAUAUUCUGUUUCAUUGACGUUACUGACAGAAGAAGCACCGGCUAACUCCGUGCCAGCAGCCGCGGUAAUACGGAGGGUGCAAGCGUUAAUCGGAAUAACUGGGCGUAAAGCGCACGCAGGCGGUUGGAUAAGCGAGAUGUGAAAGCCCCGGGCUCAACCUGGGAACUGCAUUUCGAACUGUCCGACUAGAGUCUUGUAGAGGGGGGUAGAAUUCCAGGUGUAGCGGUGAAAUGCGUAGAGAUCUGGAGGAAUACCGGUGGCGAAGGCGGCCCCCUGGACAAAGACUGACGCUCAGGUGCGAAAGCGUGGGGAGCAAAC
rnacentral:rRNA from 1 species